GUACCUACCUGGCAGGGGAGAUACCAUGAUCACGAAAGUGGUUUUCCCAGGGCAAGGCUUAUCCAUUGUACUACAGAUGUACUGACCCCUACGAUUUCCCCAAAUGUGGGAAAUUUAGUUGACUACAUAAUUUGUGGUCAAAAAGAUUUUUUGAAAAAUA
rnacentral:snRNA from 1 species